AGGUGCUGUAUGUGUGUGUGCUGUAUGUUUGGAGGGAUUUGGCAGAUUAGUAAAUCCUUGCUGCCAUGUGCCAUCCCUGGUGGUCCAGUGGAGAGUGAACUCUAGCCUGUGGGGCUAGAGUUAACUCUCACGAGAUCUGAGCGUUGCCGCAGCAACGCUCAGAUAUCGCGAGAGGAACCUGGCGGAGCUUCUGUCUAGAGCUCCCUGGGUCCUCUCCUGCCUCCCUCCAUGCUGCUGUGGGC